AUGGGCUCCAGGCUCUUUCUGGUCUUGAGCCUCCUGUGUACAAAACACAUGGAGGCUGCAGUCACCCAAAGCCCUAGAAACAAGGUGACAGUAACAGGAGGAAACGUGACAUUGAGCUGUCGCCAGACUAAUAGCCACAACUACAUGUACUGGUAUCGGCAGGACACUGGGCAUGGGCUGAGGCUGAUCCAUUACUCAUAUGGUGCUGGCAACCUUCAAAUAGGAGAUGUCCCUGAUGGGUACAAGGCCACCAGAACAACGCAAGAAGACUUCUUCCUCCUGCUGGAAUUGGCUUCUCCCUCUCAGACAUCUUUGUACUUCUGUGCCAGCAGUGAUG